rnacentral:rRNA from 1 species
UACGUAGGGUGCAAGCGUUAAUCGGAAUUACUGGGCGUAAAGCGUGCGCAGGCGGUUUUGUAAGUCUGUCGUGAAAUCCCCGGGCUCAACCUGGGAAUUGCGAUGGAGACUGCAAGGCUAGAAUCUGGCAGAGGGGGGGUAGAAUUCCACGUGUAGCAGUGAAAUGCGUAGAGUAUGUCGGAGGAACACCGAUGGCGAAGG